GUAAGUAAAAGUCGUAACAAGGUUUCCGUAGGUGAACCUGCGGAAGGAUCAUUAUUGAAUAUGUUUGGUUCUGGUGCUGGCUCUUCACUGAGCAUGUGCUCGAUCCAUAACUAUUUAUCUUCUCUUGUGCACCUUUUGUAGUCUUUCAGAGCAAGUGAUAACUCUCGCAGCAAUGCGGUUUGGGGGACUUGGGCGUGAGCCCUUCCCCUGCGUUUGCUUCUUUGGAGGGCUAUGUUUUCAUAUGCACUAUAAAGUUACAGAAUGUCUUUUAAAGAUUGUGCUAGUCGCAGUCAUUAAACCUAUACAACUUUCAGCAACGGAUCUCUUGGCUCUC
rnacentral:misc_RNA from 1 species